rnacentral:rRNA from 1 species
AGGACGAACGCUGGCGGCGUGCUUAACACAUGCAAGUCGAGCGGUAAGGCCCUUUCGGGGGUACACGAGCGGCGAACGGGUGAGUAACACGUGGGUGACCUGCCCUUAGCUCUGGGAUAAGCCUGGGAAACUGGGUCUAAUACCGGAUAUGACCUCGCGAUGCAUGUCGUGGGGUGGAAAGCCUUGUGCGGCUAGGGAUGGGCCCGCGGCCUAUCAGCUUGUUGGUGGGGUAAUGGCCUACCAAAGGCGACGACGGGUA